rnacentral:rRNA from 1 species
GAUGAACGCUGGCGGCGUGCCUAAUACAUGCAAGUCGAGCGGCGCGUGGGCGGGUGUGUAAAACGUGGAUAACCUCCUAUAAGACUGGGAUAACUACGGGGAACCGGAGCCAAAACGGCAACUUAUAGAUGGAUCCGCGCGGCAUUAGCUAGUUUGUAAGGUAACGGCUUAGCAAGGCAGCGAUGCGGAGCCGACCUGAGCGGGUGAGCGUCCACACUGGAACUGAGACACGGGCCAUACUCCUACGGGAGGCAGCAGUAGGGAAUAUUCGGCAAUGGGCGAAAGUCUGACCGAGCGAUGCCGCGUGAGUGAAGAAGGUUUUCGGAUCGUAAAGCUCUGUUGUGAGAGAAGCGGUACCUGACCAAAAAGCCACGGCUAACUACGUGCCAGCAGCCGCGGUAAUUC